UACGUAGGGGGCUAGCGUUGUCCGGAAUCAUUGGGCGUAAAGCGCGUGUAGGCGGUCCGGUAAGUCCGCUGUGAAAGUCGGGGGCUCAACCUCGGAUGCCGGUGGAUACUGUCGGGCUUGAGUAUGGUAGAGGUCAGUGGAACUGCGAGUGUAGAGGUGAAAUUCGUAGAUAUUCGCAAGAACACCAGUGGCGAAGGCGGCUGACUGGACCAUUACUGACGCUGAGGCGGCGAAAGCGUUGGGGAGCAAACACGG
rnacentral:rRNA from 1 species